AUGGAAUGGAUCUUGAUCAUCCUCUUCCUUCUGUCAGUACCUACAGGUGUCCACUCCGAGGUCCAGCUGCAGCAGUCUGGGGCUGAGUUGAGGAGUCCUGGGUCCUCAGUGAAGUUGUCCUGCAAAGCUUCUGGAUACACCUUCACAGACUACUCUAUGAGCUGGGUGAAGCAGAAGCUUGGACAGGGGCUGGAGUGGAUUGGAUCCAUUAAUACUUUCUAUGGUAAUACUGGCUACAAUCAGAAGUUCCAAGGCAAGGCCUCACUGACCGUAGACAAAUCCUCCAGCACAGCCUACAUGGAGCUCAGCAGCCUGGCAUUUGAGGACUCUGCUAUUUAUUACUGUGCCAGACCACAGUGCUGCAACCACAUCCUGAGUUGUCAAAAAACCAAGGGGUGCAGGAAGCUGCCCUGA